ACAUACUAGCUCAUUGGUUGAGCGUUCGACUCUUAAUCGAAAGGUGCAGGUUCAAUUCCUGUGUAUAUACCA
rnacentral:tRNA from 2 species